rnacentral:rRNA from 1 species
UACGGGGGGAGCAAGCGUUGUUCGGAUUUACUGGGCGUAAAGGGCGCGUAGGCGGCCACCGCAAGUCAAUUGUGAAAUCUCCGGGCUUAACUCGGAAAGGUCAACUGAUACUGCGGGGCUAGAGUGCGGAAGGGGCAACUGGAAUUCUCGGUGUAGCGGUGAAAUGCAUAGAUAUGUUAUAGAACACCGAUUGCGAAGGCAGCUGACUAAGCAUAUAUUGACGCUGAGGCACGAAAGCGUGGGGAUCAAACAGG